UUGCUCGAGUUGUCAGCAUCUCCAUUUUCCUCGGCCUAUUUCAGAGAUCAGAAAUUGAAUGGUUCCUCAUUUUCAGUUUGAUCUUUAUUUGGCGUCCUUCCCUCCCAUUGGGUAAGAAUUGCUUCUCUUUCUCUGCUCUUCCAUCUGCUAAGAAACGGAUGAGAUGGCAAAAGUAAUCAAUGCACUUGCAGAAACAGCUACUUCUCAUUUGUUGGGGGCUGUAACCAUUUUGUUGGAAGAGAAGGUGAAGGUCAUUUUGAAUGCAAAAGAUGAUCUCAGGAAGCUGGAACGCUUUCAGAAGGCAAUCGAGGAGGUAGACAGCAAGCCCCUUUUCAGCAAUGACCGCGACAAAGAUCGAGAGUGAGCUCAAGGAUGCCUUUUACGAUGCCCUGGACAUUGGGCUUAGCAAAAGGGAGAAGGAUUCGGCAUUAAAUAGAAAGGUUAAAGUGCCUGUUGAUGACUGCCAAAGUGUUCCAUAUAUGAUGGUUGAUGUGCAGUAACUUUAUCCGGAUCUCCUGGUAUCAUCUUCCCAAAAUAUGUGUGGACCCAUCGGCAAUGGAUUUUUUGUAAGGUGGCAGAGAAAUGAUUGCCGAUGUAUUUCUAGAUCACUCAAACUUAUGCCAAGCCACCUUCAAGGUUUGGAGCUGGAACUGUUACAAGGGGCAUUUAUUGGGCUUGGCGCAGCAAUUGAUAAUCUCUGUAGUUAGAGCGGGCUCAUCUCUACCACAGCCCUCACCCUGUCCCGAACAUUCACAUCUACAACCCUGUUCCUUCAGAAACUGUCGAGCUCGAUGAAGAGCACUUUCUUUAUAGAGGUCGGGAAUGGAUUUGCCUGGGAUGCUUGUUCAUUUCCCCAUGGAUGGCAUGCCAUGAGCCAUAGGCUCAAGCCAUCACAUUGCUUGGUGGCCAGCAGCCUAACCAAAUGAGGCCAAUGCCUUCUGGGUGCACGAAUUUGUGCUCAGUGAGCAUGGGAUAUGAUUUGAAGGAUUUGAUAAUACCCUUGUUGAGAGCUGUGUUCUAGUAAAGUUUUGCUGCGCUUGCAAACACCGGAUGUGGACUCAUUCACCCUCAAGUCCCAAGUAUAGGAAAGUAUAAGGGUGCCCAAGUGCCAGUAGAUCUUAUUGCCUUUCAAUUAAUGAGGGGAGAAAUCGAGAGGGGAACUGAAAGGGCAUUGACGAACAAUGAAGGGUGAGUUGAAGGAGAUUCUUGCAGAUCUCGACAAUCCCAAUGGUGUGGUCUCCGAUACAGAUCAUCAUGAACGUAUCAAGAAGAGCUUACAUAAGAAUUGUGCGUAACCUCCACCACCAGGAUGAGGAGGGUGAGAAGGGUGAGAAGGAGGAAGAAGCAGUUAGAAGAAGCGACCCAAGAGGGGAAUAGAUGAUUCUAGAGAAUCUGAUGGUGUCGACCAUUUCGAAGAGGAAUAAGAAGCAGAAAAAGGCCCUCGACUCCGAUGAAUCUGAAUGCAGCAAUGACUUGGAAGAGGAGGAAGAAGAGGUGGAUGAAACAGAGGACACCAGAUUCUAACGAAUCCAAAAAAUCUGAAGACAGUGAAGAGGCGGAAGGCGGAGAACAAGAGAUUAAGGGGAAAUUGAUAAUUGGGUGUCGCCAGAGCAAGUGACUAAGGAAAAGUGCCACCAUACUCUAAAGAGGAACGACUUGAUGGUAUUUGGAGAUGACACAGAAAAACGUUUCACAGUAGAGAGACAGAUGGUUUCGUUGCAACUUUCCCUUCUAUUUUCCUAUUGGUUCUUUUGCUUGG